UACGUAGGGUGCGAGCGUUAAUCGGAAUUACUGGGCGUAAAGCGUGCGCAGGCGGUUCGUCGUGUCCGAUGUGAAAGCCCCGGGCUCAACCUGGGAAUGGCAUUGGAAACUGGCGGACUAGAGUGUGGUAGAGGGUAGUGGAAUUUCCAGUGUAGCGGUGAAAUGCGUAGAUAUUGGAAGGAACACCAGUGGCGAAGGCGACUACCUGGACUAACACUGACACUGAGGUGCGAAAGCGUGGGGAGCAAACAGG
rnacentral:rRNA from 1 species